GGCUACCUUGUUACGACUUCACCCCAGUCAUGAAUCACAAAGUGGUAAGCGCCCUCCCGAAGGUUAAGCUACCUACUUCUUUUGCAACCCACUCCCAUGGUGUGACGGGCGGUGUGUACAAGGCCCGGGAACGUAUUCACCGUGGCAUUCUGAUCCACGAUUACUAGCGAUUCCGACUUCAUGGAGUCGAGUUGCAGACUCCAAUCCGGACUACGACGCACUUUAUGAGGUCCGCUUGCUCUCGCGAGGUCGCUUCUCUUUGUAUGCGCCAUUGUAGCACGUGUGUAGCCCUGGUCGUAAGGGCCAUGAUGACCUGACGUCAUCCCCACCUUCCUCCAGUUUAUCACUGGCAGUCUCCUUUGAGUUCCCGGCCGGACCGCUGGCAACAAAGGAUAAGGGUUGCGCUCGUUGCGGGACUUAACCCAACAUUUCACAACACGAGCUGACGACAGCCAUGCAGCACCUGUCUCACAGUUCCCGAAGGCACAAAUCCAUCUCUGGAUUCUUCUGUGGAUGUCAAGACCAGGUAAGGUUCUUCGCGUUGCAUCGAAUUAAACCACAUGCUCCACCGCUUAUGCGGGCCCCCGUCAAUUCAUUUGAGUUUUAACCUUGCGGCCGUACUCCCCAGGCGGUCUACUUAACGCGUUAGCUCCGGAAGCCACGCCUCAAGGGCACAACCUCCAAGUAGACAUCGUUUACGGCGUGGACUACCUGGGUAUCUAAUCCUGUUUGCUCCCCACGCUUUCGCACCUGAGCGUCAGUCUUUGUCCAGGGGGCCGCCUUCGCCACCGGUAUUCCUCCAGAUCUCUACGCAUUUCACCGCUACACCUGGAAUUCUACCCCCCUCUACAAGACUCAAGCCUGCCAGUUUCGAAUGCAGUUCCCAGGUUGAGCCCGGGGAUUUCACAUCCGACUUGACAGACCGCCUGCGUGCGCUUUACGCCCAGUAAUUCCGAUUAACGCUUGCACCCUCCGUAUUACCGCGGCUGCUGGCACGGAGUUAGCCGGUGCUUCUUCUGCGGGUAACGUCAAUUGCUGCGGUUAUUAACCACAACACCUUCCUCCCCGCUGAAAGUACUUUACAACCCGAAGGCCUUCUUCAUACACGCGGCAUGGCUGCAUCAGGCUUGCGCCCAUUGUGCAAUAUUCCCCACUGCUGCCUCCCGUAGGAGUCUGGACCGUGUCUCAGUUCCAGUGUGGCUGGUCAUCCUCUCAGACCAGCUAGGGAUCGUCGCCUUGGUGAGCCGUUACCUCACCAGCAAGCUAAUCCCAUCUGGGCACAUCUGAUGGCAAGAGACCCGAAGGUCCCCCUCUUUGGUCUUGCGACGUUAUGCGGUAUUAGCCACCGUUUCCAGUAGUUAUCCCCCUCCAUCAGGCAGUUUCCCAGACAUUACUCACCCGUCCGCCACUCGUCAGCGAAGCAGCAAGCUGCUUCCUGUUACCGUUCGACUUGCAUGUGUUAGGCCUGCCGCCAGCGUUCAAUCUGAGCCAGGAUCAAACUCU
rnacentral:rRNA from 1 species